rnacentral:rRNA from 1 species
GAAUAUUGGACAAUGGGCGCAAGCCUGAUCCAGCCAUACCGCGUGGGUGAAGAAGGCCUUCGGGUUGUAAAGCCCUGUUGUUGGGAAAGAAAAGCAGUCGGCUAAUACCCGGUUGUUCUGACGGUACCCAAAGAAUAAGCAACGGCUAACUGCGUGCCAGCAGCCGCGGUAACACGAAGGGUGCAAGCGUUACUCGGAAUUACUGGGCGUAAAGCGUGCGUAGGUGUGUCUUUACGUCUGUGGUGAAAGCCCUGGGCUCAACCAGGGAAGUGCAGUGGAUACUGGGCUACUAGAGUGUGGUAGAGGGUAGUGGAAUUCCCGGUGUAGCAGUGAAAUGCGUAGAGAUCGGGAGGAACAUCCAUGGCGAAGGCAGCUACCUGGACCAACACUGACACUGAGGCACGAAAGCGUGGGGAGCAAACAG